GGUUCUAUAGUGUAGCGGUUAUCACUCCGGAUUCUGAUCUUUUCGGAACAUUCCGGCAACCCCGGUUCGAUUCCGGGUAGGACCU